GACGAACGCUGGCGGCGUGCCUAAUACAUGCAAGUAGAACGCUGAAGGAGGAGCUUGCUUCUCUGGAUGAGUUGCGAACGGGUGAGUAACGCGUAGGUAACCUGCCUGGUAGCGGGGGAUAACUAUUGGAAACGAUAGCUAAUACCGCAUAAUAGCAGUUAUUGCAUGAUAACUGUUUGAAAGGUGCAAUUGCACCACUACCAGAUGGACCUGCGUUGUAUUAGCUAGUUGGUGGGGUAACGGCUCACCAAGGCGACGAUACAUAGCCGACCUGAGAGGGUGAUCGGCCAAACUGGGACUGAGACACGGCCCAGAACCCUAAGGGAGGGAGCAGUAGGGAAUCUUCGGCAAUGGACGGAAGUCUGACCGAGCAACGCCGCGUGAGUGAAGAAGGUUUUCGGAUCGUAAAGCUCUGUUGUAAGAGAAGAACGAGUGUGAGAGUGGAAAGUUCACACUGUGACGGUAUCUUACCAGAAAGGGACGGCUAACUACGUG
rnacentral:rRNA from 1 species